CUAGGAGGUUGGCUUAGAAGCAGCCACCCUUUAAAGAAAGCGUAAUAGCUCACUAGUCGAGUCGGCCUGCGCGGAAGAUGUAACGGGGCUCAAACCAUACACCGAAGCUACGGGUGCAUCGCAAGAUGCGCGGUAGAGGAGCGUUCUGUAAGCCUGUGAAGGUGAGUUGAGAAGCUUGCUGGAGGUAUCAGAAGUGCGAAUGCUGACAUGAGUAACGACAAUGGGAGUGAAAAAACUCCCACGCCGAAAGACCAAGGGUUCCUGCGCAACGUUAAUCGACGCAGGGUUAGUCGGUCCCUAAGGCGAGGCUGAAGAGCGUAGUCGAUGGGAAACAGGUUAAUAUUCCUGUACUUCUAG
rnacentral:rRNA from 1 species